rnacentral:rRNA from 1 species
CAUGCAUGUCUAGGUAUAAGUGUUAUACAGCGAAACUGCGAAUGGCUCAUUAAAACAGUUAUAGUUUAUUUGAUAAUCGAAUUUACAUGGAUAACCGUGGUAAUUCUAGAGCUAAUACAUGCUGGUAGGCCCGACUUUUGCGGAAGGGCGGUAUUUAUUAGAUAACAAGCCAAUAUUCCUCUGGUCUAUUGUGGUGACUCAUAAUAACUGAUCGAAUCGCAAGGCCUUUGGCCGCGAUAAGUCAUUCAAGUUUCUGCCCCAUCAGCUUUCGAUGGUAGUGUAUUGGACUACCAUGGCGUUUACGGGUAACGGAGGAUUAGGGUUCGAUUCCGGAGAGGGAGCCUGAGAAACGGCUACCACAUCUAAGGAAGGCAGCAGGCGCGUAAAUUACCCAAUCCUGACUCAGGGAGGUAGUGACAAGAAAUAACGGACCGAGGCCUUCGGGCUUCGGGAUUGGAAUGAGCCGAAUUUACACCCCUUAGCGAAGAUCGAUUGGAGGGCAAGUCUGGUGCCAGCAGCCGCGGUAAUUCCAGCUCCAAUAGCGUAUAUUAAAGUUGUUGCAGUUAAAAAGCUCGUAGUUGGAUUUCUGGGAGGGUGCCGAUGUCCACUUAACGUGUGCGCAGCGGCGCCCUCUCAUCCUUCUGUUAGCGUCUCUUGGCAUUCAUUUGCUGGUGGCGGGCUCAGAUAUUUUACCUUGAGAAAAUUAGAGUGUUUCAGGCAGGCUAGGCCGGAAUACAUUAGCAUGGAACAAUGGAAUAGGACUACGGUCUCUUUGUUGGUUUGAGGGACUGCAGUAAUGAUUAAUAGGGAUAGU